UGGGGAAUAUUGGACAAUGGGCGCAAGCCUGAACCAGCCAUGCCGCGUGCAGGAAGAAGGCCUUCGGGUUGUAAACUGCUUUUGUACGGAACGAAACGGUCCGCUUUAAUACAGUGGGCUAAUGACGGUACCGUAAGAAUAAGCACCGGCUAACUACGUGCCAGCAGCCGCGGUAAUACGUAGGGUGCAAGCGUUAAUCGGAAUUACUGGGCGUAAAGCGUGCGCAGGCGGUUAUGCAAGACAGAUGUGAAAUCCCCGGGCCCAACCUGGGAACUGCAUUUGUGACUGUAUAGCUAGAGUACGGCGGAGGGGGAUGGAAUUCCGCGUGUAGCAGUGAAAUGCGUAGAUAUGCGGAGGAACACCGAUGGCGAAGGCAAUCCCCUGGGCCUGCACUGACGCUCAUGCACGAAAGCGUGGGGAGCAAACA
rnacentral:rRNA from 1 species